rnacentral:rRNA from 1 species
UGGCGGCGUGCUUAACACAUGCAAGUCGAGCGGAAAGGCCCUUCGGGGUACUCGAGCGGCGAACGGGUGAGUAACACGUGAGCAACCUGCCCCAAGCUUUGGGAUAACCCUCGGAAACGGGGGCUAAUACCGAAUAUUACUUCUGGCCGCAUGGCUGGUGGUGGAAAGUUUUUCGGCUUGGGAUGGGCUCGCGGCCUAUCAGCUUGUUGGUGGGGUGAUGGCCUACCAAGGCGACGACGGGUAGCCGGCCUGAGAGGGCGACCGGCCACACUGGGACUGAGACACGGCCCAGACUCCUACGGGAGGCAGCAGUGGGGAAUAUUGCACAAUGGGCGGAAGCCUGAUGCAGCGACGCCGCGUGAGGGAUGACGGCCUUCGGGUUGUAAACCUCUUUCAGCAGGGACGAAGCGAAAGUGACGGUACCUGCAGAAGAAGCGCCGGCCAACUACGUGCCAGCAGCCGCGGUAAGACGUAGGGCGCGAGCGUUGUCCGGAUUUAUUGGGCGUAAAGAGCUCGUAGGCGGCUUGUCGCGUCGACCGUGAAAACUUGGGG